rnacentral:rRNA from 1 species
UACGUAGGGUGCAAGCGUUGUCCGGAAUUAUUGGGCGUAAAGAGCUCGUAGGCGGUCUGUCACGUCGGCUGUGAAAACUCGGGGCUUAACCCCGAGCCUGCAGUGGAUACGGGCAGACUAGAGGUAGGUAGGGGAGAAUGGAAUUCCCGGUGUAGCGGUGAAAUGCGCAGAUAUCGGGAGGAACACCGGUGGCGAAGGCGGUUCUCUGGGCCUUACCUGACGCUGAGGAGCGAAAGCGUGGGGAGCGAAACAGG